rnacentral:rRNA from 1 species
UACGUAGGGUGCAAGCGUUGUCCGGAAUUAUUGGGCGUAAAGAGCUCGUAGGCGGUCUGUCGCGGCGGCUGUGAAACCCCGAGGCUCAACCUCGGGCCUGCAGUCGAUACGGGCAGACUAGAGUAUGGCAGGGGAGACUGGAAUUCCUGGUGUAGCGGUGAAAUGCGCAGAUAUCAGGAGGAACACCGGUGGCGAAGGCGGGUCUCUGGGCCAUAACUGACGCUGAGGAGCGAAAGCGUGGGGAGCGAACAGG